GGACCUUUAGCUCAGUUGGUAGAGCAGGCGGCUCAUAACCGCUCGGUCGUAGGUUCGAGUCCUGCAAGGUCCA
rnacentral:tRNA from 3 species